CUAUUUUGACAAUAGCCGAUGCCCUUUCUUUUGAUGCCCUUACACGGACGCUGCUUGCAUGGUGGGCGAACGUGCCAUAGCCCAUUUCAUGUGUUAGGGCAACGCAGAUUAGACGGCACCCUACAUUGUAUCUGUACGAAAGGCGAAUACUCUAUUAUGACAAG
rnacentral:sRNA from 12 species